rnacentral:rRNA from 1 species
CAAUAGCGUAUAUUAAAGUUGUUGCAGUUAAGAAGCUCGUAGUUGGAUUUCUGGUUGAAGCGACCGGUCGGGCGUUGAUUCGUCUGCACUGGAGUCGGUUUUGGCCAUCCUCUAGGAAAGUGCGUCUGGUAUUAAGUUAUCGGGCGUAUGAUCCUGGUCUUUUACUGUGAAAAAAUUAGAGUGUUUAAAGCAGGCCUUCGCCUUGAAUACAUUAGCAUGGAAUAAUAAGAUAGGACUUUGGUCUAUUUUGUUGGUUUGCAGACCGAAGUAAUGAUUAAUAGGGAUAGUUGGGGGUAUUUAUAUUCCGAUGUCAGAGGUGAAAUUCUUAGAUUUUCGGAAGAUAAACUUAUGCGAAAGCAUUUACCAAGGAUGUUUUCAUUA